rnacentral:rRNA from 1 species
CCUACGGGUGGCUGCAGUGGGGAAUAUUGCACAAUGGGCGCAAGCCUGAUGCAGCCAUGCCGCGUGUGUGAAGAAGGCCUUCGGGUUGUAAAGCACUUUCAGCGGGGAGGAAGGCGGUGAGGUUAAUAACCUCAUCGAUUGACGUUACCCGCAGAAGAAGCACCGGCUAACUCCGUGCCAGCAGCCGCGGUAAUACGGAGGGUGCAAGCGUUAAUCGGAAUUACUGGGCGUAAAGCGCACGCAGGCGGUCUGUCAAGUCGGAUGUGAAAUCCCCGGGCUCAACCUGGGAACUGCAUUCGAAACUGGCAGGCUAGAGUCUUGUAGAGGGGGGUAGAAUUCCAGGUGUAGCGGUGAAAUGCGUAGAGAUCUGGAGGAAUACCGGGGGCGAAGGCGGCCCCCUGGACAAAGACUGACGCUCAGGUGCGAAAGCGUGGGGAGCAAACAGGAUUAGAUACCCGGGUAGUC